AACUUAUUCUUUUUCUCCAUCAAAGUAGUAUCCUUAACCUCAUUGUCCAAUACUUGUGGCAGAGUUGGGGGCAAUAAGACUUUUCGGGGGAAGAGUGAUUGUGACUAUGGAGAAAAGCUGAAAUGCGACUCAAGUCGGUAACGGUUGCUGUGAUUAAAUAAUAACUACACCCAUUGUCACCUUGACUCAAAUUUCAACUUUUUCUCCACCGUCACAGUUACUCCCCCUGAAAGUUUUCUUACCCCUACCACUAACAUAAGUUUCAAACAACGAGGUUAAGGAUACUACUUUGAUGGAGAAAAAGAAUAAGU
rnacentral:pre_miRNA from 1 species